rnacentral:rRNA from 1 species
GAUUUUAAAAAAUCCUUUAAACAUAAAGGUCUGGUCCCAGCCUUGAGAUCAAUUAUUACUUUACUUAUACAUGCAAGUCUCCGCAUCCCUGUGAAAACGCCCUUAAAUCCUUGCAGGACUAAGGAGCCGGUAUCAGGCACAACUAUUAGCCCAAGACACCUAGCUACGCCACACCCACAAGGGUACUCAGCAGUAAUUAACAUUGAAUAUAAGCGCCAGCUUGAUUCAGUUAAAGUAAAUAGGGCCGGCAAAUCUGGUGCCAGCCGCCGCGGUUACACCAUGAGACCCAAAUUGAUUUCUUUCGGCGUAAAGCGUGAUUAAAGCAACUCUCUACUGUAGUCAAACUAAAAUUAUAGUUGUGAAAAGCUUAUAUUUAGGAAGCCCAGAAACGAAAGUCACUACAUUAAAAACAACUUGAAUUCACAACAGCUAAGACACAAACUAGGAUUAGAUACCCUACUAUGCUUAGCCGCAAACUUUUAAUUACACUCACAACGCCGGG